GGUUCAAGUCCCUCUAUCCCCAAAAAGUCCAUUUUAC
rnacentral:tRNA from 3 species